UUACCUUGGUUAUUUGGGUUG
rnacentral:siRNA from 1 species